UCAACAUAGUGGGUUCUGUUGAUAUAAUUUGAAGGGAUGUAUUUUUAUGGUUCAUGCUAGAUCAUUCAUUGUUGACGAGACCCUCUCUUGGUGAUGGACACAUCUGCAGUGGAUCAAAUUGUCAUGACAGAUGAUCUAUUGAAUCAAACAUUUGAUAAUGAUAGUCAGGUAAAUAGGUUAAUG